UACGUAGGGACCAAGCGUUGUUCGGAUUUACUGGGCGUAAAGGGCGCGUAGGCGGCGUGGUAAGUCACUUGUGAAAUCUCUGAGCUUAACUCAGAACGGCCAAGUGAUACUGCUGUGCUAGAGUGCAGAAGGGGCAAUCGGAAUUCUUGGUGUAGCGGUGAAAUGCGCAGAUAUCAGGAAGAACACCAAUGGCGAAAGCAGCUUUCUGGGACGGUACUGACGCUGAGACGCGAAAGCGUGGGGAGCGAACAGG
rnacentral:rRNA from 1 species